AACGCGAAGAACCUUACCAAAUCUUGACAUCCUUUGACAACUCUAGAGAUAGAGCCUUCCCCUUCGGGGGACAAAGUGACAGGUGGUGCAUGGUUGUCGUCAGCUCGUGUCGUGAGAUGUUGGGUUAAGUCCCGCAACGAGCGCAACCCUUAAGCUUAGUUGCCAUCAUUAAGUUGGGCACUCUAAGUUGACUGCCGGUGACAAACCGGAGGAAGGUGGGGAUGACGUCAAAUCAUCAUGCCCCUUAUGAUUUGGGCUACACACGUGCUACAAUGGACAAUACAAAGGGCAGCGAAACCGCGAGGUCAAGCAAAUCCCAUAAAGUUGUUCUCAGUUCGGAUUGUAGUCUGCAACUCGACUACAUGAAGCUGGAAUCGCUAGUAAUCGUAGAUCAGCAUGCUACGGUGAAUACGUUCCCGGGCCUUGUACACACCG
rnacentral:rRNA from 1 species